rnacentral:misc_RNA from 1 species
GUGAAUCAUCGAAUCUUUGAACGCAAAUUGCACUCUCUGGUAUUCCGGAAAGCAUGCCUGUUCGAGGGUCAGUUCAACACUCAUGGGCGUUGUUGGUGUUUUUCGUGGUGACGCGUCGGCGUUGAGUUGUCUCAGUUUCGGUUAAGUGACUCAAAACCUUGCAUGAUUUUCGUAUGUAUUUCA